CUGCCCUGGGUGUGGAGUGAUUGUGGCUAUUGUCUUAUGUCUCCAGUAGAGCCUGAGUUCUGUUCAAAUGGAUUUGACUGAGACUCACAGUUCUGUGGUUGAUCCUACACAAGGAAUGGAGAAGGGCAGAACCCAUGAACUCCUCUUGAGGUACUGAAGAAUUGGUGCUGUAAAUGGAGCAGUGAAGUGAAGUAAUGAGGUGCCUGCUGAUAGAAGAGGAUUUAAGGCCUCAUUGGGGAGAAGAGUCUGUGAUGGCUGCUGCAUCUGAGAGGAAGACAGAUCCUGGGAGAAGGCCUGAGACAGCUGUAGCAGAGAAUGGGUAAAGGGAGACACCAAACAUACAGACAGAAGAAUAAGACAGAAGAAUAAUUCAGAAGGAAGGAAUGGUCCUACUUUCCUGCAGGAAACCAGGUAAAGUGCCAGGCUCUGUCAUAGAAUCAUAGAAGAUUAGGGUUGGAAGAGACCUCAGGAAGUCAUCUAGUCCAACCCCCUGCACAAAGCAGGACCAACCCCAACUAAAUCAUUCCAGCCAGGGCUUUGUCAAGCCAAGCCUUAAAAACCUCUAAGGAUGGAGAUUCCACCCCCUCCCUAGGUAACCCAUUUCAGUGCUUCACCUCACUCUUAGUGAAAUAAGUUUUCCUAAUAUCCAACCGAGACCUCCCCCACUGCAACUUGAGACCAUUGCUCCUUGUUCUGUCAUCUGCCACCACUGAGAACAGCCUAGUUCCAUCCUCUUUGGAACCCCUCUUCAGGUAGUUGAAGGCUGCUAUCAAAUCCCCCCCCCCCCACUCUUCUCUUCUGCAGACUAAAUAAGCCCAGUUCCCUCAGCCUCUCCUCAUA
rnacentral:lncRNA from 1 species